rnacentral:rRNA from 1 species
AGAGUUUGAUCCUGGCUCAGGAUGAACGCUAGCGGCAGGCUUAACACAUGCAAGUCGAGGGGCAGCAAGGGUAGCAAUACCUGUUGGCGACCGGCAAACGGGUGCGGAACGCGUACAGAAUCUACCUCUAUCUGGGGCAUAGCCCGAAGAAAUUCGGAUUAACUCCCCAUAAUAUAGAUGAGUGGCAUCACUUGACUAUUAAAAAUUUAUUGGAUAGAGAUGACUGUGCGUCCCAUUAGCUAGUUGGUAGGGUAACGGCCUACCAAGGCGACGAUGGGUAGCUGGUGUGAGAGCACGACCAGCCACACGGGCACUGAGACACGGGCCCGACUCCUACGGGAGGCAGCAGUGAGGAAUAUUGGUCAAUGGACGCAAGUCUGAACCAGCCAUGCCGCGUGAAGGAUGAAGGCCUUCUGGGUUGUAAACUUCUUUUAUCUGGGAAGAAAAUUACGGUUUCUACUGUAACCGACGGUACCAGAGGAAUAAGCACCGGCUAACUCCGUGCCAGCAGCCGCGGUAAUACGGAGGGUGC